GGGUAACGGGUAGCUAUCCUUUGAGCAUGCUUUAUUUAGAUUGAUAAAGUAUAUGCAAAUCUACCACUUCCUAUUUACCUUCUUCACAAAGACCAUGUUUGCUAUAUAGUCUAGGUAGAUCACCUCCCUGAUGAACUCCGCAUUAAGGAGCUUAUCAACCUCUUCAACGAUUGCCUUCUACCAUUCUGGGGUGAAGCUGCACUUCUUUUGCUUAAUUGAUCGAUAUGCAGAAUCCACAUUUAGUGGAUGCACCAUCACCUCAAGGGUCUAUGCUUGACAUGUCAGUGGCCAAUCAAGUGAAGA
rnacentral:lncRNA from 1 species